rnacentral:ncRNA from 1 species
ACUGACUGGCUCAGCGUGUGCCUAGCCUACGCCAGCAGGCGCGGGUAACCCAUUGAACCCCAUUCGUGAUGGGGAUCGGGGAUUGCAAUUAUUCCCCAUGAAA